CAAAAGGGCCUUUACCGUACUGGUACUCGGUGCUACACAGCAUCGGGCGGAAUCGUUAUCAAGAGAUUUCGGAGGCACAAUUUCUGUGAGUUGUGGCAGUUGGUGCUCUCUUAGCCCGGCGCCCGA